CCACAGCUCGGUAACCAGCCUCAGCCAGCCUUUUCAGUGUGCCCAGGUUCUGCCAGGUCUCAGAGGAGAAGCGGAUGCCAUGCAACAGCAGCACAGAGAAGCGGGCAGCCUGUCCGCCGCCUGGCACAACCUCUCUGUAGAACAGGCUCUGGCCUUGGACCUGGAUGGUGCCCUGCCGCUCCUCUGUGCCCGCCAUAUCUGCUGCUGUGAGGUGAAGGGCCUGUGAAGAAGCCACAGAAGAGUCUGCCAAGGUGCAGUUUGAGGACAGCCACCAAGAGCGUGGCUGAGAGGAUUAAAGGAGCACCGGACAGCAGCCCUGGCUGGGAAGAAGACUGGAAGCUGGGACUUCAGGCCCAAGGCGGGGCGGUCAAGAUUGGAGCCAAAAACACACUUUCCGGAGGCGGAAACCGCGCAGAGCAGAGAAAGACUUUGGAGUUCCAGCCCCCAAGGACCGCCGGGUGCUCCAAGCCGGGCCCACUGGGGGCCCAAACCAAAGGGCCCGUGGUCUGGCGCGAUCACCUGCGCGCCACCGCUCUCCCCACCCCCUCCGCCGACCUCUGGCACUGGAUCGCUGGGCCUGGUAGGGUGCAUGGGGAGGUUGAUGGGGGCAGACUCUGGGGAGCCGAAAUAGAAAGAGGAGAGGCGAGGGGUAGGGAUAGGGAGGGGAGUCUAGUUGGAGAGAAGAUGGAGGACGAACAGC